CCUACGGUGUGCAGCAGUGGGGAAUAUUGCACAAUGGGCGAAAGCCUGAUGCAGCAACGCCGCGUGAGCGAUGAAGGCCUUCGGGUCGUAAAGCUCUGUCCUCAAGGAAGAAAAUGACGGUACUUGAGGAGGAAGCACCGGCUAACUACGUGCCAGCAGCCGCGGUAAUACGUAGGGGGUUAGGUUUAUCCGGAUUUACUGGGCGUAAAGGGUGCGUAGGUGGUUUCUUAAGUCGGAGGUGAAAGGCUACGGAUAAACCGGAGGAAGCCUUUGAAAAUGGGAAACUUGAGUGCAGGAGAGGAGAGUGGAAUUCCUAGUGUAGCGGUGAAAUGCGUAGAUAGUAGGAGGAACACCAGUUGCGAAGGCGGCUCUCUGGACUGUAACUGACACUGAGGCACGAAAGCGUGGGGAGCAAACAGGAUUAGAUACCCUUGUAGUC
rnacentral:rRNA from 1 species